rnacentral:rRNA from 1 species
AUGAACGCUGGCGGCGUGCCUAAUACAUGCAAGUCGAGCGAACAGACGAGGAGCUUGCUCCUCUGACGUUAGCGGCGGACGGGUGAGUAACCCGUGGAUAACCUACCUAUAAGACUGGGAUAACUUCGGGAAACCGGAGCUAAUACCGGAUAAUAUAUUGAACCGCAUGGUUCAAUAGUGAAAGACGGUUUUGCUGUCACUUAUAGAUGGAUCCGCGCCGCAUUAGCUAGUUGGUAAGGUAACGGCUUACCAAGGCAACGAUGCGUAGCCGACCUGAGAGGGGGAUCGGCCACACUGGAACUGAGACACGGUCCAGACUCCUACGGGAGGCAGCAGUAGGGAAUCUUCCGCAAUGGGCGAAAGCCUGACGGAGCGACGCCGCGUGAGUGAUGAAGGUCUUCGGAUCGUAAAACUCUGUUAUUAGGGAAGAACAAAUGUGUAAGUAACUAUGCACGUCUUGACGGUACCUAAUCAGAAAGCCACGGCUAACUACGUG